rnacentral:rRNA from 1 species
GAGUUUGAUCCUGGCUCAGAUUGAACGCUGGCGGCAUGCCUUACACAUGCAAGUCGAACGGCAGCACGGGAGCUUGCUCCUGGUGGGCGAGUGGCGAACGGGUGAGUAAUGCAUCGGAACGUAUCCUGGAGUGGGGGAUAACGUAGCGAAAGUUACGCUAAUACCGCAUAUUCUGUGAGCAGGAAAGCGGGGGACCUUCGGGCCUCGCGCUCUUGGAGCGGCCGAUGUCGGAUUAGCUAGUUGGUGAGGUAAAGGCUCACCAAGGCGACGAUCCGUAGCAGGUCUGAGAGGAUGAUCUGCCACACUGGAACUGAGACACGGUCCAGACUCCUACGGGAGGCAGCAGUGGGGAAUUUUGGACAAUGGGGGCAACCCUGAGUCCAGCCAUGCCGCGUGAGUGAAGAGGCCU